GUAUUGCUUCGGCGAUACAUAUACAUAAAUUGGAACGAUGCAGAAAAGAUUAGCAUGGCCCCUGCACAAGGAUGACAUGCAAAUUCGUGAAGCGUUCCAUAUUUUU